GCAUUUGCCAGUCCGAUAGAAAACUUACCAGUAGCAUACCAUUGAAAUUUGGUCCCGGUGUUUUCAAGAUUUUGUCAAAAGUCAAAAUUUGGUUGGUAAUUUUCUGCUAAAGAAAACAACAAAAACGAGAAUAUUUAAACAACCAACACCGAUGUAAAUAGACGAAGAUGCUAGAGGAAAAUACAUUUUUAUAUUUACACAAAAUAUAAUAGUUUACAGUUUUGAAUCGUUAUGGAGGAUACUUUGAGUGCAGAAUCAAUUGAAUCAUUGCCGACAAGUGAGGAGUUUGAAUUUCUGUCCGAUAAACCGGGAGCUAGCAAGACGCCAACGUUAUCUUUUGCCGGAGGCCUUAACGAAUUAAGAGAAGCUUUAAG